UAUUUUAUAAAAUAAUAGCAAUUUAAAAGUUAUAGAAACAUAAAAAAUAAAAAAAUAAAUGUAGAACAUACAAAUAUGAUUACAAAGAAACAUGUAUACAUACAUAUAAUUACAAAGAACCGAACAUAUAACUUUUUAGCUACUAUUAUUUUAUAAAAUAGAUUUUGAUUAAGAUUUAUACAUAUGAUUACAAAAAAAAAACACAAAUAUAACUACAAAAAGAAACACUAAUAUAAAAAUUAAAUUAAAACAAAAAAUGUACCCGCCCUUUCAAAGGGCGGGUGAAAAUCUAGUUAAUCCUUAAGGUUAAUGAAAUAUAAUAAUAAUAUUUUGGCUUAACUAACUAUGGAUCAAUCCUUCAAGAAGGAUUGGAAGGACUUGAUCCUUAAUACACGUGUCUCCUUAUCCUCCUCUUUCUCCUUCGCUCUCUCUAUAUCUCCUCCCUGGCUCUCUCUCAAUCUCUCCUCGCUAGCCCCAUCAUCGCCCACCAUGGCUCCUCUAUCAUCUUCCUCUUCUUCUUCAUCACCCAACCCUAGAUUAUUUUCAUAAAAAUUGGGGCUUUCUCAUCCGAUCCCAAUCGAGUUCUCACCUCAGGUUCGUCGAAAAUUGGGGCUUUUGCUGGAUUAGAUCAACACUAUGCUCGUUGCUAUUGGGAGUUUUCUAAAGCUCGACUCAGGAAGCAGAUUCGUAUGUUUCCUUCUCCACGACUUCUGAAUUUUGACACAUUCGUUGUUUCUUUUGAAGAUAUAAAGUUGGAAGAAUCGAGCAGUUAGAAACAUCUGACCAGGCAAAAGCCAGAGGUGCAAAUACUAUAAUACCGAGGAAGCUAGUUCAGGUAUUAACUCCAUCAACAGCAAGCGAGGGUAAUCUAGGGCCUGAUCCCGUCCAUCUCCUUGCUAUAAAAGAGGUGAAAAUGGAGCUAGAAAAGUGUUCAACUGUCCAGAAGUGGCCUGAGCUAUGGCCUAAACGGCUUGUGAGUGUAAAGCCUCAAAGUGUUUCGGCUGACACAAAAACAUCCAAGAAAGAUACAGAGAAAUGGUCAGAGAUUGUAUCUGAUGUCUAUCUUGAACGUUUAGCUGUAAACUGGUCUAGCGUGAGGAAUGUGAUGGACAUGAAUGCUGGUUUUGGCGGGUAACUUUUUACAUUUUUUUUUUAAUUUCUAAGAACUCCUAAAAGGGAAACACCAUUGGACACACAAAAUAGUGUGGAGUCCUUAACUAUUCAAAUUAACAAAAAAAAAACAAAAAAAAUA